GGGAAGGUCUCUUUGAGUAGGUAGCAUUAGGACCUUUUGAGUGGGAAGGAGACAGCCAUGUGAUGAUCUGGUGAAGAAUGCUGCAAGCAGAAGGGAAAGUAAAAACAAAAUCCCUGAGGCUGAAAUGUGCUCCUUAUGCUCAAGAGACACCAUGAAGGCCAAUGUGGCUGGAGCGGUAUGAGCAAGGAGAAUAGAGGGGUCUUGGGGACACAGGUAGUUGAGUCCUCAUGGAUCAAAGUAGGAAGUGUGGCACCUUGACUUUGAAUAAGUGUCUGUUACCCCAAGGGGCUAUGGCAAACUGUGUCUGCAGCCCACAGUAAGAUCCAGAGUGGGGCUGUUCACACUGGAGUGCAGCUAUCGAGUUUUUCAGCCAUUUUCAAAAGGAAUUCUACUGGUAUGUUAGUUGACAAGCCUAGAAUGAAAAGAUAGAUGGGAAAAGAAGACCAGCAGACUGGUGGCUGGGUAUGUGGAGACAAGCAUGAAGGUCUGUCACGACGUUGCUCUUUGGCUCUGUCACAUUUUCAGGCAUCUUCUAGCUAGAGGUGAUUGUGUGACACCACAUGCACUGUGAGAAGUAGGCAAGUUCAGGCUAGUGACGCUUCUGGGAAAGCUUGUUUUCCUAAUUUUUUAAAAAAAGAGUCAGGGGAGUGGCAUGCCUUUUGUCCUUCCUCCCUCUUCCUGCCUGGAACAUGGAUGUGAGACUAGGAAGUACAGCAGCUGUCUUGUAACCAUGAGCACUAAAGUCCUGCACUGAGGAUGGUAGAGUAGAAUGAAAGAAGCAGCCUGGGUGCCUGAAGAGGAGCCGUGCCAGCCUGAGUGUCAAUCAUUGUGCUUCUGAUUUUCUCCUAUUUGUAGCCAAAUAAAUUCCUUACUAAUACAGGCAGGGUCCUUGUUGGUUCCAAAGAAAAGUGGAUUCACAGAAAUAUAACUGAAAGAACCAUGAAUUUCUAAAGAAGUCCCAGAAAUAGAUCAGUCAGAGAAAUUAUCCAUUUCAGGCAGGAGUUUCUACUGUAAGUUGCUUGGAUAGAAAAUAAAUCAGUAUUAAGGAGGUGAGAAUGCCAUCACUUGAAUCAUAUGACUCUAUCUUAUUAAAUCUCAGAUGCCAUCAGGGAUAAGGUACAGCAUUAUUUUACAUAUGACUAUGAGGGAAGAAAAUGUUCUCAAGACAUAUCGCUGAAUGUAACACGCAUCCACCUUGAUUUCAGACAUUUUAAAAUGUGAAAAAAGAGAGGGGCAUCCUGGGAUUGGUGCAAUAUGCCACGUAUUUACUUGCUUCCUUGAUUCCUGCCUGUUGUCCCCAUUAGACCUCACAUUAGACCAGAGACACUGUCUGCUUUGCUGACAAGUCCUCCGUACCUAGAAUGGGGCCUGGCAUACAUAUUGUUUAAUAAGCUAACUUGUAAGUUCUAGUCCUUGCUUUUCCAGUAACUUCCCCUGCUACCCUGGCUGAAGAAAGCAUUUCCCUUUCUCUGUACCUCAUUUCUUCAUAACCCAGCUCAACUGACCCUCACCAGAACAGAAGAAACAAAAAGCCCCAAAUACAUACAAAGUGGACCCACACUCUGCAUCACCAUGGCGACGCCUCCCAGGGUCCCAGAGGGCAGGGAGGCCACAUCUUCCACCAUCCCUAGAAAUCUCUAUUUCCCCAGAGCCCAACUCCUUCUAAAGCUCUGUGGUUAACCCUUUCCAGGCAACCCAUUUCCAACACUCUGUUUGGGUUGCUAAAUGUGUUCCCUACAAAUGGACUAGAGCCAAGGAAUUACGCAAGGUCCUUCCAGCAAAGAGAUGGUAUUUUGUAACCUGCCUGAGUUUCUUCAGGAAGAUGAAAUGCACAACGUGUUUUAAAAUAAUGUCAACCUACAUCUGUCAGAGAAGGAGUCUCGUCUGACCAAAGCCCUUGAGCUGGUGAGGGGCGGGGUUCCACGUGCCCCUUCUGCGACACCAGCACUGUAUUCAGAAGUAAUUAAUAUAAGAGAUUUCAUGU